rnacentral:rRNA from 1 species
GGGGAAUAUUGGACAAUGGGCGAAAGCCUGAUCCAGCCAUGCCGCGUGAGUGAUGAAGGCUUUAGGGUUGUAAAGCUCUUUCGCCGAUGGAGAUAAUGACGGUAGUCGGAGAAGAAGCCCCGGCUAACUUCGUGCCAGCAGCCGCGGUAAUACGAAGGGGGCUAGCGUUGUUCGGAGUUACUGGGCGUAAAGCGAGCGUAGGUCGCUCGAUGUGUCAGUGGUGAAAUCCCGGGGCUCAACCUCGGAACUGCCAUUGAAACUGUCGAGCUGGAAUCUCAGAGGGGAUAGCGGAAUUCCAAUGUAGGGGUGAAAUCCGUAGAUAUUUGGAGGAACACCGGUGGCGAAGGCGGCUAUCUGGAUGAGUAUUGACACUGAGGCUCGAAAACGUGGGGAUCAAAC